rnacentral:rRNA from 1 species
AUUGAACGCUGGCGGCAGGCCUAACACAUGCAAGUCGAGCGAGCGGCGGACGGGUGAGUAAUGUAUGGGGACUGCCCGAUAGGGGGGGCUAACUACUGGAAACGGUAGCUACUACCGCAUACUAUCGGAUAACCCAUAUGGGAUUAGCUAGUAGGUGAGGUAAUGGCUCACCUCGGCGACGGUCCCUAGCUGGUCUGAGAGGAUGAUCAGCCACACUGGGACUGAGAUACGGCCCAGGCUCCUACGGAGGCAGCAGUGGGGGAUAGUGCACAAUGGGCGAAAGCCUGAUGCGGGGACGCCGCGUGGGGGAUGAAGGCUUUCGGGUUGUAAACCUCUGUCGCUAUCGAACGGGUAGGUGGAGAAGAAGCGCCGGCUAACUACGUGCCAGCAGCCGCGGUAAUAC